rnacentral:rRNA from 1 species
GAUGAACGCUAGCUACAGGCUUAACACAUGCAAGUCGCGGGGCAGCAUGGGGGUUGCUUGCAAUCCCCGAUGGCGACCGGCGCACGGGUGAGUAACGCGUAUCCAACCUGCCCUUCACCACGGGAUAAACCGGCGAAAGUCGGACUAAUACCGUAUGUUGUCCAUUGACGGCAUCCGAUUUGGACGAAAGGUUUGGCGGUGAAGGAUGGGGAUGCGUCCGAUUAGCUGGACGGCGGGGUGACGGCCGACCGUGGCGACGAUCGGUAGGGGUUCUGAGAGGAAGGUCCCCCACACUGGAACUGAGACACGGUCCAGACUCCUACGGGAGGCAGCAGUGAGGAAUAUUGGUCAAUGGGCGUAAGCCUGAACCAGCCAAGUAGCGUGCAGGAUGACGGCCCUAUGGGUUGUAAACUGCUUUUAUGCGGGGAUAAAGUGGCCCACGUGUGGGUUUUUGCAGGUACCGCAUGAAUAAGGACCGGCUAAUUCCGUG